UGGGGAAUUUUGGACAAUGGGCGCAAGCCUGAUCCAGCAAUGCCGCGUGCAGGAUGAAGGCCUUCGGGUUGUAAACUGCUUUUGUACGGAACGAAACGGCUCUGGUUAAUACCUGGGGCUAAUGACGGUACCGUAAGAAUAAGCACCGGCUAACUACGUGCCAGCAGCCGCGGUAAUACGUAGGGUGCGAGCGUUAAUCGGAAUUACUGGGCGUAAAGCGUGCGCAGGCGGUGAUGUAAGACAGAUGUGAAAUCCCCGGGCUCAACCUGGGACCUGCAUUUGUGACUGCAUCGCUGGAGUGCGGCAGAGGGGGAUGGAAUUCCACGUGUAGCAGUGAAAUGCGUAGAUAUGCGGAGGAACACCGAUGGCGAAGGCAAUCCCCUGGGCCUGCACUGACGCUCAUGCACGAAAGCGUGGGGAGCAAACA
rnacentral:rRNA from 1 species